rnacentral:rRNA from 1 species
UACGUAGGGGGCAAGCGUUGUCCGGAAUCAUUGGGCGUAAAGCGCGUGUAGGCGGCUUGGUAAGUCUGCUCUGAAAGCCCGGGGCUCAACCCCGGGAGGCGGGUGGAUACUGUCAAGCUCGAGUCCGGAAGAGGAGUGUGGAAUUCCGGGUGUAGCGGUGGAAUGCGUAGAGAUCCGGAAGAACACCGGUGGCGAAGGCGGCCUGCUGGGACAUGGCUGACGCUGAGGCGCGACAGCGUGGGGAGCAAACAGG